AACGAACGCUGGCGGCAUGCCUAACACAUGCAAGUCGAACGAGACCUUCGGGUCGAGUGGCGCACGGGUGCGUAACGCGUGGGAACCUGCCCUUAGGUUCGGAAUAACUCCCCGAAAGGGGUGCUAAUACCGGAUAAUGUCUUCGGACCAAAGAUUUAUCGCCUUUGGUUGGGCCCGCGUUGGAUUAGCUAGUUGGUAGGGUAAAAGCCUACCAAGGCGACGAUCCAUAGCUGGUCUGAGAGGAUGAUCAGCCACACUGGGACUGAGACACGGCCCAGACUCCUACGGGAGGCAGCAGUGGGGAAUAUUGGACAAUGGGCGAAAGCCUGAUCCAGCCAUGCCGCGUGAGUGAUGAAGGCCUUAGGGUUGUAAAGCUCUUUUACCCGGGAUGAUAAUGACAGUACCGGGAGAAUAAGCCCCGGCUAACUCCGUG
rnacentral:rRNA from 1 species